GUACAUGAGUUGGGGAAUAGUAGGGAUGCACUUACUAUAUAGGCUAGAAUAACUGGUUGCAUCAAGAAAACAACUAAAGAACUGUUGCGGGAGGUGGGGGUGGUUUAAGGGGUUACCCAAAUGGGCAUGUUAGUGAUAUGGAGAGGUCCAUGAAAAUAUUUACGCCAAUAAGGUUGAUUAUAUGGUAUUAGUGGAAUUAGAUGAGGAGGACAAGAAAAAGAAUAUGGAGAAGUACAAUAUGGAGAAAAAGAAACAAAAGCUAGGC
rnacentral:lncRNA from 1 species